CACACUGAAUCGUCAAAAAACCACUCUAACCAAGUGCUGUUAUGCUAACCAUCAUAACACAAUAUUGUAACCAGUAGAUAUGACAUGCUGCAUCACAACACAACACUGUUACCAAUAGGAAUGACAUGUUGCAUCGUAACACAACAUUGUAACAAUAGGUAUUACAUGUUGCAUUGUAAACAAUGGGUAUGACAUGCUGUAUCGUAACACAUUGUAACCAAUAGGUAUGACAUGCUGCAUCAUAACACAACAGUGUUACCAGUAGGUAUGACAUGCUGCAUCGUAACACAACAUUGUAACAAAUAGGUAUGACAUGCUGC